rfam:Triticum aestivum genome assembly, contig: Triticum_aestivum_CS42_TGACv1_scaffold_009256_1AL
UUUGUACUCCCUCCGUCCCAAAAUUCUUAUCUUAAAUUUGUCUAAAUACGGAUGUAUCUAGUUAAAUUUUAGUGUUAGAUACAUCCGUAUCUAAACAAAUGUAAGACAAGAAUUUUGGGACGGAGGGAAUACUAC